UGUGGCCAGCGGAUAAUACUGGGGACUCAUGGGAGACUGCCGGGGUCAACUCGGAGGAAGGUGGGGAUGACGUCAAUUCAUCAUGCCCCUUAUGUCCAGGGCUUCACACAUGCUACAAUGGCCGGUNCAAAGGGCUGCUAAACCGUGAGGUGGANCGAAUCCCAUAAAGCCGGUCUCAGUUCGGAUCGGGGUCUGCAACUCGACCCCGUGAAGUCGGAGUCGCUAGUAAUCGCANAUCAGCAACGCUGCGGUGAAUACGUUCCCGGGCCUUGUACACACCGCCCGUCACGUCNCUAAANUCGGUAACACCCGAAGCCCGUGGCCCAACCACAAUGGGGGGAGCGGUCGAANGUGGGACUGGCGAUUGGGACNAAUCUUAACAAGGUAGCCGUACCGGAAGUGCGGCUGGAUC
rnacentral:rRNA from 2 species